AGCCUAAACCAGUAAGCAAUGAUUGGCAUGGUGAAAGAAAGUCCAGACACGGAUAAAAAACCCAUCAUGGGGUUGCCGUGUCUGGCUAUGUAGGGAAACUUACAUAGGAGGCGAAAGCUUCC
rnacentral:sRNA from 1 species